GGAUUGGGGUUGUGCUCAGUGACAGAGUAUGUGCUUUGCAUGCAGAAGGCUCAGGUUCAGUCCCUGGAUUCUCCA
rnacentral:tRNA from 1 species